rnacentral:rRNA from 1 species
GGAUAAAAGCUACCCUGGGGAUAACAGGCUUAUCUCCCCCAAGAGUCCACAUCGACGGGGAGGUUUGGCACCUCGAUGUCGGCUCAUCACAUCCUGGGGCUGUAGUAGGUCCCAAGGGUUGGGCUGUUCGCCCAUUAAAGUGGUACGCGAGCUGGGUUCAGAACGUCGUGAGACAGUUCGGUCCCUAUCCGUCGCAGGCGUAGGAAAUUUGAGAAGACCUGUCCUUAGUACGAGAGGACCGGGAUGGACGUACCUCUGGUGUACCAGUUGUCCUGCCAAGGGCAUGGCUGGGUAGCUAUGUACGGAAUGGAUAAGCGCUGAAAGCAUCUAAGCGCGAAGCCAACUUCAAGAUAAGAUUUCCCACCGCAAGGGUAAGACCCCAGAAAGACUAUCUGGUUGAUAGGUCGAAGGUGUAAGUGCAGCAAUGUAUUUAGCUUAUCGAUACUAAUAGGUCGAGGACUUGACCAAU